GUUGAAAAACCAUGGGAUGAGCUGUGGAUAGCGGAGAAAUUCCAAUCGAACUCGGAGAUAGCUGGUUCUCCUCGAAAUAGCUUUAGGGCUAGCGUCGUGUAAUUGAGUAAUGGAGGUAGAGCACUGAAUGGGCUAGGGGCUAUAGUAGUUACCGAACCCUAUCAAACUCCGAAUGCCAUAUACUUGUAUCACGGCAGUCAGACUGCGAAUGAUAAGAUCCGUAGUCAAAAGGGAAACAGCCCAGACCAUCAGCUAAGGUCCCAAAGUGUAAGUUAAGUGGAAAAGGAUGUGGGAUUUCUAAGACAACUAGGAUGUUGGCUUAGAAGCAGCCACUCAUUUAAAGAGUGCGUAAUAGCUCACUAGUCAAGAGAUCCUGCGCCGAAGAUGUCCGGGGCUCAAACUUACCACCGAAGCUAUGGGUGUACACUAUGUGUACGCGGUAGAGGAGCUUUCUGUAUGGGUUGAAGUCGUACCGUAAGGAGCGGUGGACUGUACAGAAGUGAGAAUGCUGGCAUAAGUAGCGAGAAAUAAGUGAGAAUCUUAUUGGCCGAAAACCUAAGGUUUCCUGAGGAAGGUUCGUCCGCUCAGGGUUAGUCGGGACCUAAGCCGAGGCCGAAAGGCGUAGGUGAUGGACAAUCGGUUGAUAUUCCGAUACCACCUAUUUACGUUUGAGAAAUGGGGUGACGCAGUAGGAUAAGAUGUGCGCACUAUUGGAUGUGCGUCUAAGCACUUAGGCAUGCUUGAUAGGCAAAUCCGUCGAGCUAAGCUGAGGUGUGAUGGGGAGCCAUUUAUGGCGAAGUAUCUGAUUCCACACUGCCAAGAAAAGCCUCUAUCGAGUGAAUAGGUGCCCGUACCGCAAACCGACACAGGUAGGUGAGGAGAGAAUCCUAAGGCCAUCGGAAGAAUUGCUGUUAAGGAACUCGGCAAAUUGACCCCGUAACUUCGGGAGAAGGGGUGCCUACGAAAGUAGGCCGCAGAGAAUAGGCCCAAGCAACUGUUUAGCAAAAACACAGGUCUCUGCUAAAGCGAAAGCUGAUGUAUAGGGGCUGACGCCUGCCCGGUGCUGGAAGGUUAAGGGGAACACUUAGCGUAAGCGAAGGUGUGAACUUAAGCCCCAGUAAACGGCGGCCGUAACUAUAACGGUCCUAAGGUAGCGAAAUUCCUUGUCGGGUAAGUUCCGACCCGCACGAAUGGCGUAAUGAUUUGGGCACUGUCUCAACAGCAAAUCCGGCGAAAUUGUAGUGCAAGUGAAGAUGCUUGCUACCCGCGAUUGGACGGAAAGACCCCGUAGAGCUUUACUGUAGCUUAGCAUUGAAUCUCGGUAUUGUCUGUACAGGAUAGGUGGGAGACUUGGAAACUUGGGCGUCAGCCUGAGUGGAGUCAUCCUUGGGAUACCACCCUGACAGUACUGGGGUUCUAACCGGAGGCCAUGAAUCUGGUCACGGGACAUUGUUAGGUGGGCAGUUUGACUGGGGCGGUCGCCUCCUAAAAAGUAACGGAGGCGCCCAAAAGUUCCCUCAGCGCGGUCGGAAAUCGCGCGAAGAGUGCAAAGGCAGAAGGGAGCUUGACUGCGACACAUACAGGUGGAGCAGGGACGAAAGUCGGGCUUAGUGAUCCGGUGGUACCUCGUGGGAGGGCCAUCGCUCAACGGAUAAAAGCUACCUCGGGGAUAACAGGCUGAUCUCCCCCAAGAGUCCACAUCGACGGGGAGGUUUGGCACCUCGAUGUC
rnacentral:rRNA from 1 species